CAGAGCACUUCACACCUGCAGGUGCUGCUGAAAAAAUACUGACUUGCAAGUGGACUGGAUGCAGGAACACGAAAUGGAGGAGAACACUAAAAUGCUCUUCCAGCCUCCCCACAGCCUGUCUGCAGCUGGAAUGUAAGUGAUUGGCGUGGUUCAUCACCUGGGGACCAAGUCCUGGGCAGGAUAUCUGGUAUGUUGGAAACCUUAAAGAUUUCUCCCUUAUGGAACGGGAAUUUGGAUGAUAGUUCCCCUGUGGGUCAUCUAAAAAUGGAGUGAGGUAGAGACAUCAGGUCUGCCAGCUUGUGGUUUAAGUAGACCUGAUGGGCAGAGACUGGAAAAGGAAGAAAGCUGCUGCACAAGGAAUUUGAGGGAUUUGCUCAGGGUCAUUCUGCAGGUCAGAGGCAGUUCUGGAAAUACAACUCUCAUUUAGUGUCCAGGUCAAGCUUCCUGUUGGAAAAAAAACAUUUUUUUCCCAUGGGGAGCUUUUGCACAGUGUAAGUAGCAUUUCCCUU